UUGAGAACUAGGCUUAGUACCACAAGGUUUUCUUCUCUAAAGUUGAGAGUUUAGUAUUAUUUUAUUCUCCGUUGAGAAUUUAAUAAGUUUUUUUUAUUUCCUGCUGUUACGCUGUCGGAGUUCGUACUCAAGAUUUCUUUUAUUAAUUCAGUCGCACAAGAACUGGGACAACAAACCCAAAUAAGGUUGGUCCAAGCAUGUUGUUUAGUGGUGAGGUCAAGCUAAGGUAGUCAGUAAGCCGGAGCAGCAACCUAGUCAAUGGACAAAAAGUUGAGUAUCCGGAGAGAGGUAAAGGGGUAGAUCAGUCCAUUUGUGUUACUGGUGACAGCAGAGCAUAACAUAUAAGCGGAAUGAAGAGGAGCAGAGAUACAUAUAAAAGAUUUGUAGAGCUUUGUGUUUGAGUUUGAAGAGUUUUUUCUUAUGAUACUUUGUUAGUGGCCAAGUAGUGAUGUUUGUCACUUUUAAUUUGCAGUGAGUUUCUACUAGUUUUGUUUUUUUUUUCCUCUCCAGAUUGUUACUUUCUUUUUUGGUUUAUAACCCUCUUGUUCCUAAGGGAAAGGAGACCUAGUAGUCCAAAGUUUGGCCGCGAGAUAAGUAAAAUCUAGCAAAAAAAUUGUUUCACCCAGAAUCGAACCCGGGUUCUCCCGAAAUCCGUCAUUUUUUGGUGAAACUCAUUAACCACUUGAGCCCAAUGACUUAGCGUGUGUUUGGU